rnacentral:tRNA from 1 species
CAAAGUUUAUUUUAUUAAGAAUGUGCGAUUGUUAGUCGUAAGGUUUAUCUUUGU